UCACGUCACAAUUUAUGCCAUCCAUUUGCAUUGGUUCAAGCUUUAGCUACGAUCUCCUUUUCUUCCUCCCUUAUCACAUACAACUCACGCCUCCUCUCUCUCGUCAUUCUUCUUCUCUUCCAGUCUCGUCUUCCUCCGAAUCUCUGCGUUUGCACGCCGCUCCUCCUGCGAAUGGCCUCGCCGGAAAUGGGACGGCCCUUGCCUAAAUUUGGAGACUGGGAUGUGAACAACCCAGCAUCAGCUGAAGGGUUUACUAUGAUAUUUACCAGAGCUAGAGAUCAGAAGAUGACCAAUGGGCCGCCUGACAAUGGGACUCCGGCUCCCUCUUCAACCAAACCAAUAAACAAUCAAUAUCCCCAAGAGAAAAAAUGGUUUUGCUGUUUGUGAAGAUCUCCACGCUUUGGUGUUUCUGAGAAUCAGUAAUGUUAUUAUUUGAGUAUUGUAAUUGAAUUAUCUCUAGCUUUUGAUGAUUAAUCCUUGUUCGAAGUUUAAACACUUAAUUUUCCAUGUCCCCCAUACUUUUGUGUAGAUUAAUACAUAUUUAAAUUGUAGGAAGAAAGGUGGCAAAGUAAUUUGAAUGAGAAGUAUGUUUCUUUUUUAUA